ACUCCUACGGGAGGCAGCAGUGGGGAAUAUUGCGCAAUGGGCGGAAGCCUGACGCAGCGACGCCGCGUGAGGGAUGAAGGCCUUCGGGUCGUAAACCUCUUUCAGCAGGAAGAAGCGAGAGUGACGGUACCUGCAGAAGAAGCACCGGCUAACUACGUGCCAGCAGCCGCGGUAAUACGUAGGGUGCAAGCGUUGUCCGGAAUUAUUGGGCGUAAAGAGCUCGUAGGCGGUCUGUCGCGUCUGCUGUGAAAACUCAGGGCUUAACCCUGAGCUUGCAGUGGGUACGGGCAGACUAGAGUGCGGUAGGGGAGACUGGAAUUCCUGGUGUAGCGGUGAAAUGCGCAGAUAUCAGGAGGAACACCGGUGGCGAAGGCGGGUCUCUGGGCCGUAACUGACGCUGAGGAGCGAAAGCAUGGGGAGCGAACAGGAUUAGAUACCCUGGUAGUCCAUGCCGUAAACGUUGGGCGCUAGGUGUGGGGACCUUUCCAUGGUUUCCGUGCCGCAGCUAACGCAUUAAGCGCCCCGCCUGGGGAGUACGGCCGCAAGGCUAAAACUCAAAGGAAUUGACGGGGGCCCGCACAAGCGGCGGAGCAUGCGGAUUAAUUCGAUGCAACGCGAAGAACCUUACCAAGGCUUGACAUGGGGUGAAAACUCGCAGAGAUGCGGGGUCCGUAAGGGCGCCUCACAGGUGGUGCAUGGUUGUCGUCAGCUCGUGUCGUGAGAUGUUGGGUUAAGUCCCGCAACGAGCGCAACCCUCGUUCCAUGUUGCCAGCACGUUAUGGUGGGGACUCAUGGGAGACUGCCGGGGUCAACUCGGA
rnacentral:rRNA from 1 species